CGUGGCCUGGUGAUUAAGACGCCAGACUACUAUCCUGGCGGUCGUAGGUUCGAGCCCAGG
rnacentral:tRNA from 1 species